rnacentral:rRNA from 1 species
GUGAGGAAUAUUGGUCAAUGGGCGCAAGCCUGAACCAGCCAUGCCGCGUGCAGGAAGACGGUCCUAUGGAUUGUAAACUGCUUUUAUUUGGGAAUAAACUCCGGUACGUGUACCGGCCUGUAGGUACCAAAUGAAUAAGCACCGGCUAACUCCGUGCCAGCAGCCGCGGUAAUACGGAGGGUGCAAGCGUUAUCCGGAAUCAUUGGGUUUAAAGGGUCCGCAGGCGGUCUUAUAAGUCAGUGGUGAAAGCCUACAGCUCAACUGUAGAACUGCCAUUGAUACUGUAGGACUUGAAUUCGAUCGAAGUGGGCGGAAUGUGACAUGUAGCGAUGAAAUGCUUAGAUAUGUCACAGAACACCGAUAGCGAAGGCAGCUCACUAGGUCUGGAUUGACGCUCAGGGACGAAAGCGUGGGGAGCAAACAGGAUUAGAUACCCCAGUAGUCC